rnacentral:rRNA from 1 species
GACGAACGCUGGCGGCGUGCUUAACACAUGCAAGUCGAACGGAAAGGCCCUGCUUUUGUGGGGUGCUCGAGUGGCGAACGGGUGAGUAACACGUGAGUAACCUGCCCUUGACUUUGGGAUAACUUCAGGAAACUGGGGCUAAUACCGGAUAGGAGCUCCUGCUGCAUGGUGGGGGUUGGAAAGUUUCGGCGGUUGGGGAUGGACUCGCGGCUUAUCAGCUUGUUGGUGGGGUAGUGGCUUACCAAGGCUUUGACGGGUAGCCGGCCUGAGAGGGUGACCGGCCACAUUGGGACUGAGAUACGGCCCAGACGCAUACGGGAGGCAGCAGUGGGGAAUAGUGCACAAUGGGCGGAAGCCUGAUGCAGCAACGCCGCGUGCGGGAUGACGGCCUUCGGGUUGUAAACCGCUUUCGCCUGUGACGAAGCGUGAGUGACGGUAAUGGGUAAAGAAGCACCGGCUAACUACGU